GUAACUGUCAGUCCCACGAGGUGCUGGGCAAAGUACUAGCAGUCUUCAUUCCUGUGGCUUAUUCUUGCAGCUGAGUUCUGUGCAUCUCCUUGUUCUGUAGGUAAAGACAUGGAGGCUCAGAGAGUUCACACACUUGCCUCGGGAUGCCAGCAGCCAAGGUGACAGGCAGCUGUUUUAGUUCCUAAGGCCUCUCUGUCCACUGCCUGAGAUACAAAGUAACUUUUCUCACUACCAUAGCAUCUUCUCUGCUGUUUACCCCAGAAAUGGCGAGGAAGCAUGCUCAGGAAACCUGCAGAGCUCUGGCUGGCUCCUGCCCACAGCAGCCCAGGCUCGGCUGUGGGCCUUCCAUGCUGCGUGCCCGCGCCAACCUCUCCUCAGCAAGCCAGCCAGGAGAAGCUUGCUCGGAGCACAACGGCAGAACUUUCCACUCUGCAGAGAACUCCAUCCUGCCAAGUUCUCCCACAGCCAGGCUCCUGGAGGUCAGGUCUGAGAACCCUGGACUUAUCAUCUGUAAUGGUGAGUGAGAAGUACAAAGACAAGCCUGACCUUAAGCCCGGGUGCAGAAACCAAUUAUGUGAUUCUGAGCAAGUCACAUCAUUGCCGGUGGAGCCUCAGCCUUCUCAGUGGAGAACCGGAGUGUCCCGAUGAAAGAGAGGGAUACCUGCCAGGCCAGGUGGCAUGCACCUGUACUACCAGCACUUGGGAGGCCGGGAGACUGAGGCAGGAGGAUCACGGUGAGUUUGAGGCUGGCCUGGACUACAUAGUGAGACCCUGUCUCAAAAAAAAAAAAAAAAAAAAAAAAAGAAAGAAAGAAAGAAAAAGAAAAAGGAUGAAAGAAAGAAAAAAGAAAAGGAAAGGAAGGAGAAAAAGGGAAAAGGGCAACUUUCAGAUCACCUAGAAAAUCUCAGUUUGUUUUGUCUCUGUGAACUCUUCCCUUCAGUGGAAGAGAAGCGGUGUUGGCCCAGGAGGAGGCACAACUUGAGACUCUGAAAACGACUCAACAGGUACAGAACCGGUGGCUUUUCACAGCGUGUGUCUCAUCAGUGCUCCUAGACUGGGGCUCCAGUGCCAGGU
rnacentral:lncRNA from 1 species